rnacentral:rRNA from 1 species
GACGAACGCUGGCGGCGUGCUUAACACAUGCAAGUCGAACGAAGAGCGAUGGAUGCUUGCUUCUAUCAAUCUUAGUGGCGAACGGGUGAGUAACGCGUAAUCAACCUGCCCUUCAGAGGGGGACAACAGUUGGAAACGACUGCUAAUACCGCAUACGAUCCAACCUCGGCAUCGAGGAUGGAUGAAAGGUGGCCUCUAUUUAUAAGCUAUCACUGAAGGAGGGGAGUGCGACUGAUUAGCAUGGUGGAGGGGGAACGGCCCACCAAGGCAAAGAUCAGUAGCCUGUCUGAGAGGAUGGACGGCCACAAUGGGACUGAGACACGGCCCAGGCUCCUACGGGGGGCAGCAGUGGGGAAUCUUCCGCCAUGGACGAAAGUCUGACGGAGCAACGCCGCGUGAGGGAUGACGGCCUUCGGGUUGUAAAGCUCGGUUAAGCUGGACGAAAGGUCUUCUUGCGAAUAGUUAGAAGAAUUGACGGUACCGGAAGAGAAAGCCACGGCUAACUACGUG